rnacentral:rRNA from 1 species
GAUGAACGCUGGCGGCGUGCUUAACACAUGCAAGUCGAACGAAGCACUUUUAUUUGAUUUCUUCGGAAUGAAGAUUUUAGUGACUGAGUGGCGGACGGGUGAGUAACGCGUGGGUAACCUGCCUCAUACAGGGGGAUAACAGUUGGAAAUGACUGCUAAUACCGCAUAAGCGCACAGUACCGCAUGGUACGGUGUGAAAAACUCCGGUGGUAUGAGAUGGACCCGCGUCUGAUUAGCUAGUUGGUGAGGUAACGGCCCACCAAGGCGACGAUCUUUAGCUGGUCUGAGAGGAUGAUCAGCCACACUGGGACUGAGACACGGCCCAG